UGUAGGUUCCAAGAGUGGCCUCAGAGUUUGCCUUGCACCUUACCAGGAAUGCUCCCCUGGCCUUCACAACAUUUUCCUCCUUUCCUGACCAGGCCUUGAGAGUGCUCUGCUGAAGUGCACGUCCAAAGGAGAAGGACAGGUUCCAUGGCUUCUUCCCCUUGAGCUUGUUCAUGGCAUUGAGGUUGAGAGUGGCCUCCUCCUCACUCUGCCCCCCAGACAAAAACACAAUAGCAGGAACAGCUGCAGGCACAGUUCGCUGGAGGGUCCGAACAGUGUACUCGGCCACCACCUCUGGGGAAACCUUCUUGGCUUCUGAUCCAGGAGUCACCAUGUUAGGCUUCAACAGAGUUCCCUCAAGCAGAACGUGAUGGUCAUUCAGUGCUUUGUAGCAUGCUGCCAGAACACGUUCAGUUACAUAAGCACACUUUUCAAUAUCAUGAGGGCCAUCCACCAGGAUCUCAGGCUCAACAAUGGGGACAAGGCCAUUCUCCUGGCAGAUCAUUGCAUAUCUUGCCAACCCAUAUGCAUUUUCAUGGAUUGCCAACUCAGAUGGCUCAGUAGGGCCAAUCUUAAGCACAGCACGCCAUUUAGCAAACCGGGCACCAGCUGCAUAGUAUUUUGCACAUCGUUCACCAAGGCCAUCAAGACCCUGGGUGGUAGUUUCACCAUCAGUGCCAGUAAGCACAACUGUGCCCUUGUCUACUUUGAUUCCGGGAAGAACUCCACCUUCCUUCAUAACAUCCACAAAGGGUUUGCCUGAAAUUUAAAAAAGACAAUUUCAGUACAUCUGGAAUCUUAAGUUCCCAGGUGGGGGGAGAGGACCCACUCAAAUAAUGAAUUUUUUUUCUUCAAUUAUUUAGAGAAACAUAAAAAUAUCGCAGGUAUUAUACUCAAUUUCACAAAACUUGUGUGCAUUGGCAAAUAAUUUCAUCAUACUCCAUACAUAACAUAAUAAAAUAACUUAAUGAACAGAACUCACAGAAAUAUCACCCUACAUCUAAAAUCUCAACAGAUAAAAAUACAAUACCAGAG
rnacentral:lncRNA from 1 species